UGCCUGUGAUGCAUAGAUAUGCACGUAUUAUCAGACUUUAAAUGAUGACGAAUACAUUGUCACUACCACUGAGGCU